GUGUGGGGUUCGCGGGGCGGCGGGCAGAGGUUCUGGCCUAUAGGAACAAGACAUUUUCAGUAAUGGAAGAAGGAGCUUCCAGGCUGGGGAAGAUCAUCGUUUCCAGUGGUAGCUUGACCUGAGAUGAUACCUGACCACCACUUCUGGGAAGGCCCAGAAUAGACAGAAGAGAGAGAACAUCCUAGAGUUGCUAGCCCCUAAGAGUUGAACGAAAUGGGCAAGGCCCAGGUGAGGUUUGUUU
rnacentral:lncRNA from 1 species